UUCUGAAGUGCCAAAGACAGAUGUCGAAGCAAGACCACCUUCUGUUUCUCCACAAAGGGAGCCUAGUCCAAGACACUGCGAACCUAUCUGCGAAGAAGACGUGAAAGAGUCUUCCCCGGAAACUGAGUCCGCUUCUGAAUCUGACCGACUUGCCGCUCAGGAGAUUGAUGAAGAUGAAGAAGAAGCACCAACUUUACUCAGGUUAAGUGGCUCGAGGGUUCGAUCCAGGAGCUCUUCAUCGUCUGAUAUUGAUGAAGGAGAAUCUAGGCUAAUGGUGCUUCAAAAUGAGCUCAU